rnacentral:rRNA from 1 species
GACGAACGCUGGCGGCGUGCUUAACACAUGCAAGUCGAGCGGUAAGGCCCUUUCGGGGGUACACGAGCGGCGAACGGUGAGUAACACGUGGGUGACCUGCUCUCAGCUCUGGGAUAAGCCUGGGAAACUGGGUCUAAUACUGGAUAUGACUCCACGGUGCAUGUCGUGGGUGGAAAGCCUUGUGCGGCUGAGGGACUGGG